rnacentral:rRNA from 1 species
UACGUAGGUGGCAAGCGUUGUCCGGAAUUAUUGGGCGUAAAGCGCGCGCAGGCGGUCUCUUAAGUCUGAUGUGAAAGCCCCCGGCUCAACCGGGGAGGGUCAUUGGAAACUGGGAGACUUGAGGACAGAAGAGGAGAGUGGAAUUCCAAGUGUAGCGGUGAAAUGCGUAGAUAUUUGGAGGAACACCAGUGGCGAAGGCGGCUCUCUGGUCUGUUACUGACGCUGAGGCGCGAAAGCGUGGGGAGCAAAC